AGAUAUUGACAUUGCUGGCCAUCCAUAGUUGUGAUUGAUCGGAUCAAUCAAUCGUAACUCUUUGCAAGACGGGGCCCCGAUCACUUCAUAUUUGAGUGGAUUGUAAGAUAUUAUUUUCGCAUUGUUAAUAUUGCAUUUUAGAGUACUUUGUAUGUUUGCCGAUUUAACAGGGUAGGUGUGGUGUUGAAUAUAGAUUAAUAACCCAUUUGAUGUACCUUAGUUAUUGCUAUGGUAAUCAUGGUGAAAGGGACUUCUGGUUGUGAGAAAAGUGACAGCAUUGAUUGAAAGAUUUAAGGUUCUUUUCAGGUUCUUUUCAUAUGAUUUAUGAAGAAUUAAUUUUUAGAAAAUUAAUUUUUAAUUUUUAAAAAUUCCAAAAAUAGUACAGAAUUAACUUAUCAACACUUGAACUUCCUAACUUUGCUGUAUUGUGUAAACGCUUGAUUCAAUAUACGAAAGGCAAAGAUGGCAAAUUCUGUGAAGUUCCGGAAUAAAGAUACAAAUUUGCGUUGAUCUCAGAAGUAUUGACACGCAAUACAUCUGAUAAAGUGAUCGGUUGAACUUAAAUUAUCAGAUUUUGGCUCUUGGAAUUAAUAAUAUAUAGGUUUAUGGAAUAGGGCCCAGGGCUACUUAACAUGCUAUCAUCAAAGUCAAAUUUGAAACCGUUGUUUGUAAUUUGUAGUAAUUCAAUCUGCAUGAAACGGACCUAAAGGGCAAUUGAUUAAUCAAUGAAAUCGAUUUUUUAAAGAUGUAGUAAUAAUUGCAAAGUUACAUGUACUACUAUGACUUAGUAUUGUACAAUGCAAUGGAAUUUCAGCAUUUUUUAGGUCUUGUACUUGCAAGCUGCAUAAUUUAUUUAUAAUUACAUUAAGUUUGUAGAAUAGCUUGUGUAGAUUCUUGUUAGGACCCACUUGAUGUGAAAUUUUUGUACGAGUCUAAUGAAAAUGUUGCAAUUGAUACUACAUCUAUUUGUAUGAACUUAUAUCUCCAGACUACAAAACCUUGAAUGUACAUAAUUUGAUUAUUCUCUAUUUCAAAUGAGAUGUGGUAACGCAGGUGAUCUGCAACUAAAAUUUUGUGAAAGUUGUGAUUCUGUCAAUUCAGUGAGUUGUAAAUGAAGGCUAUAUGACGAUUUUACGUAUGGUAGUGUUGAUGUUGAUGAAUUAAUGGCUUGGCUCAGUGAGCAGUAAGAUUUUUCUCUUGACUCGCUUUAUGCAUUUGUAUAACAGUACUUUUCUUCAUUAACAGGACUAUGCACCUUCUAAUAUGUAAUGCUUAACAACAAUUUUUAAAAAUAUUUUAUAGAUGUAGGGUCUUUUUUAAUAAUACAUGUUCACCCAACCUGCUGACGUACGUUGAGUUUAUCGCAUAAUUGUAGAAUUGCUGUGAUGGGCAAAAAUUCAGUUUUUAUUUUACAUCCAGGACCCCUUCUGAGAAACACUUGAUUGAUCCAAUCAUCCUCAAUAAUGGAAAGUUACUCACAUCAUGAUAUAGAAAAUGCGUGUUUUUUUUUCCAAAGUGGCAUUUUAUAGACCUCUUGGAUAAAGAAUGGUGACAUCCAUGGCUUGCCAUAUUCUAACUUGAUUGGAUCAAUCAAAACUCUUUAUAAAGAAGGAACCCUGAUCAGACAAUCAUUUUUAUUUUACAACCGAUGACUUAUGUGCAAGGUUGAUUGUACACCGAUUGUCAGUUGUGUAGCAUGAAAGGCAAUGUUUCAUCUCUUGUGGAACUUGUGGUAGAUAUGACUCGUGCUUACUCACUCAGCCCAACGGUGUUUAGAAGAUCAAUAUUCUGAGAGGACCAGACACUCGGGUGUUAAAAUACACUAUAGACUUUGAACAUACUACAUAGUGUCGAAAACAUACAAUGUGCUAUAACACCAUUGGGUUUUAAACUAACACCAUAAGUAUAACACUUAGCUAUUCAUUUGAUUGGAUCAUGUGUUGGAAAAUUCUUUCAAUUCCUGUCUGGAUUUCAUGAUGACCCAAUUCCCAUUAAUAUCCUAAUGCUGAGUUCAAAGACAUCCCAUUGAAAUACACUUACAUUUAGUAUUUGUGAAUUUUUCAUAAAGAACAUGUGUAUUUGGUUUACAAAAGGUGUAUACUAAUCUUGCAAUAUUUGAAAGAGGCCCUUGGAUUAUCUUUUUAUUACUGUUGAUAAAGCUACCGGUACUUACAUGUAAUUCAUGUCAACAUUCUUGUAUAUAAAUUGUAUUUGUUGCUAUGAAAUGUAUAGGGCCUAUAGACCGCUAUCCUGUUCUUUGUAGAUAUGAAUGGAUGUGUUUAUAUUUCUUACUAUCGUUAUUCAUAUUGUACUGUAUUGUGUGGCAAUAACAAAUUAUAGAAAUAUAUAUAAACA